rnacentral:rRNA from 1 species
AUUGAACGCUAGCGGGAUGCCUUACACAUGCAAGUCGAACGGAGUGGCGAACGGGUGAGUAAUGUAUGGGUACGUGCCCAGUAGCGGGGGAUAACUAAGCGAAAGCGUCGCUAAUACCGCACACUAUCGCACCGGUCGAUAUGGGAUUAGCUAGUUGGUGGGGUAACGGCCCACCCAGGCGACGAUCCGUAGCUGGUUUGAGAGGACGACCAGCCACACUGGGACUGAGACACGGCCCAGACUCCUACGGGAGGCAGCAGUGGGGAAUAUUGGACAAUGGGGGAAACCCUGAUCCAGCCAUGCCGCGUGUGCGAUGAAGGCCUUCGGGUUGUAAAGCACUUUUGGCAGGAAGGCGGUACCUGCAGAAUAAGCACCGGCUAACUACGUGCCAGCAGCCGCGGUAAUUC